UGGAGAGUGUUCUUAAUAGUCUGUUAUUAUUACACAAACUUUGGGAAUACUUUCGAGA
rnacentral:pre_miRNA from 1 species